rnacentral:misc_RNA from 1 species
GUUUGGGGUUAACUAUUACUUGAUUAAUAGCAUAAACUUGAUAAUUAAACUACCAACUAUUAGGCUAAUAAACCACCGCUAUAAAUUUUUUUUUCCCUUUCCCCCCAUUUUUUGUUAAAAAUUAUUAAGAACAUAUAUGCAUGUAAAUAGCAUAUAUUACACUUCCUAAAUGACGAUCUAUAUAAAUCUGUUGCUAUUUAUCCUUUGUUUUCUUCAAUGCCCAUAGAUCGCAAGGGCAAAUUAUGAUAUCCAAUACCCAGAUUUUCAUGUCUACCGAAUAAGUCAAAUACAGACUAACUGCAUUUAAAACAAUACUAAAAAAAGACAUAUUUGUAGUUACCGAGCUUAGACAGAUCGGCAAGCAAAGCCAUUAACAUCAGCUUAAAUUCAACAAGCAAAAUUAGAACGAAGAAAUGUACGAGUAAU